rnacentral:tRNA from 1 species
CAAGACGUAGCUAUAACAUAAAGCACUCAGCUUACACCUGAAAGAUAUCUGCUGCCAACCAGAUCGUCUUGA